UACGUAGGGUGCAAGCGUUGUCCGGAAUUAUUGGGCGUAAAGAGCUCGUAGGCGGUUUGUCGCGUCUGGUGUGAAAAUCCAGGGCUUAACCCUGGACCUGCAUCGGGUACGGGCAGACUAGAGUGCGGUAGGGGAGACUGGAAUUCCUGGUGUAGCGGUGAAAUGCGCAGAUAUCAGGAGGAACACCGGUGGCGAAGGCGGUUCUCUGGGCCUUACCUGACGCUGAGGAGCGAAAGCGUGGGGAGCGAACAGG
rnacentral:rRNA from 1 species